rnacentral:rRNA from 1 species
AUUGAACGCUGGCGGCAGGCCUAACACAUGCAAGUCGAACGAGUGGCGGACGGGUGAGUAAUGUCUGGGAAACUGCCCGAUGGAGGGGGAUAACUACUGGAAACGGUAGCUAAUACCGCAUACCAUCGGAUGUGCCCAGAUGGGAUUAGCUAGUAGGUGGGGUAACGGCUCACCUAGGCGACGAUCCCUAGCGGGUCUGAGCGGAUGACCAGCCAAACGGGAACUGAGACAGGGUGCAGACUCCUACGGGAGGCAGAAGCGGGGAAUAUUGCAGAAUGGGCGCAAGCCUGAUGCAGCCAGGCCGGGUGUAUGAAGAAGGCCGUCGGGUUGUAAAGUACUUGCAGCGGGGAGGCGUUACCCGCAGAAGAAGCACCGGCUAACUCAGUGCCAGCAGCCGCGGUAAUUC